rnacentral:rRNA from 1 species
UACGUAGGGGGCAAGCGUUGUCCGGAAUCAUUGGGCGUAAAGCGCGUGUAGGCGGCCCGAUAAGUCCGCUGUGAAAGUCCAGGGCUCAACCCUGGGAUGCCGGUGGAUACUGUCGGGCUCGAGUCCGGAAGAGGAGUGUGGAAUUCCUGGUGUAGCGGUGAAAUGCGUAGAUAUCUGGAGGAACACCGGUGGCGAAGGCGGCAUCCUGGACCUCUGCUGACGCUGAGGCGCGAAAGCGUGGGGAGCGAUCCGG